rnacentral:ncRNA from 2 species
UUCGUGCCCGGAGAUGGCAUUCCUCCCCGAACCGCCGCGCUGGCCGCAGCUGAUGAUGCCUACAGACAC